rnacentral:rRNA from 1 species
UACGGGGGGGGCAAGCGUUGUUCGGAAUUACUGGGCGUAAAGGGCUCGUAGGCGGCCAACUAAGUCGGAUGUGAAACUCCCAGUCCUUAACGUGGGAACUGCAUCCGAUACUGGAUGGCGUUGAAGUCCGGGAGAGGGAUGCAGAAUUCCAGGUGAUAGCGGUGAAAUGCGUAGGAUAAUCGUGGAGGAAUACCGGGUGGCCGGAAGGCGGCAUCCUGGACCGGCAUUGAACCGGCUGAGUGGAGCGAAAGCCAGGGGACGCAAACGGG